rnacentral:rRNA from 1 species
AUUGAACGCUGGCGGCAGGCCUACCCCUGCCAGUCGAGCCGAUGAAGGGAGCUUGCCCCUGGAUUCAGCGGCGGACGGGUGAGUAAUGCCUAGGAAUCUGCCCGGUAGGGGGGGAUAACGUUCGGAAACGGGCGCUAAUACCGCCUACGUCCUGAGGGAGAAAGUGGGGGAUCCUCGGACCCCACGCUAUCAGAUGAGCCUAGGUCGGAUUAGCUAGUUGGUGGGGUAAAGGCCUACCAAGGCGACGAUCCGUAACUGGUCUGAGAGGAUGAUCAGUCACACUGGAACUGAGACACGGUCCAGACUCCUACGGGAGGCAGCAGUGGGGAAUAUUGGACAAUGGGCGAAAGCCUGAUCCAGCCAUGCCGCGUGUGUGAAGAAGGUCUUCGGAUUGUAAAGCACUUUAAGUUGGGAGGAAGGGCAGUAAGUUAAUACCUUGCUGUUUUGACGUUACCAACAGAAUAAGCACCGGCUAACUUCGUG